UACGUAGGGGGCAAGCGUUGUCCGGAUUUAUUGGGCGUAAAGAGCGUGUAGGCGGCCACACAGGUCUGCUGUGAAAACUCGAGGCUCAACCUCGAGCUGUCGGUGGAAACCGUGUGGCUAGAGUCCGGAAGAGGAGAGUGGAAUUCCCGGUGUAGCGGUGAAAUGCGCAGAUAUCGGGAAGAACACCCGUGGCGAAGGCGGCUCUCUGGGUCCCUACCGACGCUGGGGUGCGAAAGCAUGGGGAGCGAACAGA
rnacentral:rRNA from 1 species